rnacentral:rRNA from 1 species
UCCAUAGGUUAAUGAGGCGAACCGGGGGAACUGAAACAUCUAAGUACCCCGAGGAAAAGAAAUCAACCGAGAUUCCCCCAGUAGCGGCGAGCGAACGGGGAGCAGCCCAGAGCCUGAAUCAGUGUGUGUGUUAGUGGAAGCGUCUGGAAAGGCGUGCGAUACAGGGUGACAGCCCCGUACACAAAAAUGCACAUGCUGUGAGCUCGAUGAGUAGGGCGGGACACGUGGUAUCCUGUCUGAAUAUGGGGGGACCAUCCUCCAAGGCUAAAUACUCCUGACUGACCGAUAGUGAACCAGUACCGUGAGGGAAAGGCGAAAAGAACCCCGGCGAGGGGAGUGAAAAAGAACCUGAAACCGUGUACGUACAAGCAGUGGGAGCACGCUUAGGCGUGUGACUGCGUACCUUUUGUAUAAUGGGUCAGCGACUUAUAUUCUGUAGCAAGGUUAACCGAAUAGGGGAGCCGAAGGGAAACCGAGUCUUAACUGGGCGUUAAGUUGCAGGGUAUAGACCCGAAACCCGGUGAUCUAGCCAUGGGCAGGUUGAAGGUUGGGUAACACUAACUGGAGGACCGAACCGACUAAUGUUGAAAAAUUAGCGGAUGACUUGUGGCUGGGGGUGAAAGGCCAAUCAAACCGGGAGAUAGCUGGUUCUCCCCGAAAGCUAUUUAGGUAGCGCCUCGUGAAUUCAUCUCCGGGGGUAGAGCACUGUUUCGGCAAGGGGGUCAUCCCGACUUACCAACCCGAUGCAAACUGCGAAUACCGGAGAAUGUUAUCACGGGAGACACACGGCGGGUGCUAACGUCCGUCGUGAAGAGGGAAACAACCCAGACCGCCAGCUAAGGUCCCAAAGUCAUGGUUAAGUGGGAAACGAUGUGGGAAGGCCCAGACAGCCAGGAUGUUGGCUUAGAAGCAGCCAUCAUUUAAAGAAAGCGUAAUAGCUCACUGGUCGAGUCGGCCUGCGCGGAAGAUGUAACGGGGCUAAACCAUGCACCGAAGCUGCGGCAGCGACGCUGAUGCGUUGUUGGGUAGGGGAGCGUUCUGUAAGCCUGCGAAGGUGUGCUGUGAGGCAUGCUGGAGGUAUCAGAAGUGCGAAUGCUGACAUAAGUAACGAUAAAGCGGGUGAAAAGCCCGCUCGCCGGAAGACCAAGGGUUCCUGUCCAACGUUAAUCGGGGCAGGGUGAGUCGACCCCUAAGGCGAGGCCGAAAGGCGUAGUCGAUGGGAAACAGGUUAAUAUUCCUGUACUUGGUGUUACUGCGAAGGGGGGACGGAGAAGGCUAUGUUGGCCGGGCGACGGUUGUCCCGGUUUAAGCGUGUAGGCUGGUUUUCCAGGCAAAUCCGGAAAAUCAAGGCUGAGGCGUGAUGACGAGGCACUACGGUGCUGAAGCAACAAAUGCCCUGCUUCCAGGAAAAGCCUCUAAGCAUCAGGUAACAUCAAAUCGUACCCCAAACCGACACAGGUGGUCAGGUAGAGAAUACCAAGGCGCUUGAGAGAACUCGGGUGAAGGAACUAGGCAAAAUGGUGCCGUAACUUCGGGAGAAGGCACGCUGAUAUGUAGGUGAAGCGACUUGCUCGUGGAGCUGAAAUCAGUCGAAGAUACCAGCUGGCUGCAACUGUUUAUUAAAAACACAGCACUGUGCAAACACGAAAGUGGACGUAUACGGUGUGACGCCUGCCCGGUGCCGGAAGGUUAAUUGAUGGGGUCAGCGCAAGCGAAGCUCUUGAUCGAAGCCCCGGUAAACGGCGGCCGUAACUAUAACGGUCCUAAGGUAGCGAAAUUCCUUGUCGGGUAAGUUCCGACCUGCACGAAUGGCGUAAUGAUGGCCAGGCUGUCUCCACCCGAGACUCAGUGAAAUUGAACUCG